AGGAAUGAGCAGAGGCCCAUGUUAGAGGUAAAAACGAAGACAGGAAAGAAGUAGUCGGGCGUCCCACGGAGGAUCCGUGGGUGGACAGGUGGGAGCUUUCUUCGUCCUUCCCCCCUGCACUGCGUUUUUAUUUGCCUCCAGUUCUCAGUUCGACGAAUGGUGGAUAAUUUUAUCAAUUCGGGCCUCCACAACGCCGUCACGGCACUGAGCACCCACAAAACGCAACAUGAACCCACCAGUAUGAAGCAAUCUGUAGCUGGGCAAAGGUUCACUGAAACAACGAGCUUGCCUUGAGUUCUCAGUCGCUGUUACGCCGUGUUCUGUGGGCGCAGCUAGGCCUCUCCUCUUUCUCCCCCACUCCGGCAACGUCGUACCCCCCUCCCAGCCUCCCGGGUCCUUGGAGCUCAGCUUCCCCAUGACAACUAUCCGCCUGCCGUCCUCGGCCGCCAUGGACUUUCAAGAAAUUCCCGCGAACUCAUCCUCUUGGUUCACCCCCACGCC
rnacentral:lncRNA from 1 species